rnacentral:rRNA from 1 species
UACGAAAGGGGCUAGCGUUGUUCGGAAUUACUGGGCGUAAAGCGCACGUAGGCGGCCAUGUAAGUUGGGGGUGAAAUCCCGGGGCUCAACCCCGGAACUGCCUCCAAAACUACAUAGCUCGAGGAUGUGAGAGGUUGGCGGAAUUCCGAGUGUAGAGGUGAAAUUCGUAGAUAUUCGGAAGAACACCAGUGGCGAAGGCGGCCAACUGGCACAUUUCUGACGCUGAGGUGCGAAAGCGUGGGGAGCAAACAGG